rnacentral:lncRNA from 1 species
GUUUCCUUCCUCUUCUACCUACAGGCCAUUGGAAACAUGGUCCUCUUCCUUAUUUCCAUUAGUUUUUUUGGGAUCUUGGACUCUUGCCUUGGUAUUUUGAUCAUGAAGCCGCAAGGUUGGAUCUUCUUGAUGUAUUGGGGCUCUUAAACUUUUACCUUAUUUGAAUAAAGGGCCUCUUUGUAUCCAAUUUAAUUUUCAAUCCUA